CCCUUAGACGUUCUGGGCCGCACGCGCGCUACACUGACCAGUGCAACAAGCAUCCGUCCUUGGCCGACAGGCCCGGGCAAUCUUUGAACGCUGGUCGUGAUGGGUAUAGACUUUUGCAAUUUUUGGUCUUCAACGAGGAAUUCCUAGUAAACGCAAGUCAUCAACUUGCAUUGAUUACGUCCCUGCCCUUUGUACACACCGCCCGUCGCACCUACCGAUUGAAUGGUCCGGUGAAGCCUCCGGAUUGGCGCGCACCUCGGUGCCGCCGAGAAGUUGGCUAAACCUUACCAUUUAGAGGAAGGUGAAGUCGUAACA
rnacentral:rRNA from 1 species